rnacentral:piRNA from 1 species
UAAUGAGACUGUUUCAAGGGAAGAU